ACGGUGUAUUCCCCUUUUCGAUCGACGCCCGCCCCCGCAUGCCAGCCCCGCCGAUCGGAGAUGAUCGGCUAUUUUUAAUUGGCCGCGUUAGGGUCGCGUUCUGCGCAGCGGAGCCACUUAACGCAACCCUUGGCACAUAUAUAGAUACGUGUAUACGUAUCUAGCAUAAUAAAUCUUGUCGAAUCGAAUAUAUGUGUACGCACGUAUAUGCAUCUAUUCCACAAAUGGUCAAUUUAUAUAUCGGAGUACGUGUUAUCUAUAUAAUACCUCGCCUGUCUCUAUGCGCUGUCAGCGCGCAAGUGCGCGAUUGGCUUCGGCCUCUGUGUUGACAUGCACCACGCACACACGGUCGCGCGUGGGUGUCCACCGACACCGGAGAGCCAGGCCGGAGUAAAUUAACAACGAGACGCAUUGCUUAUGUGUUGUGUGAUGGAUGUACGAGCUCCGCGUUUUUCCGCGCUGCCCGCCUCAACAAGGAUGACGCGUGAUAAGCAAAGACAAGGGAACCGAAGUCCAAGGAGGGAUAUUUACAAGGAUACGAAAGCCGAUCCCGAAGCGGCGCAUUCAAAAGUAGAUGCAGUCCCGACCAAACGUUACCUCAUCUCCAGAAGGAGUAUUCAUCGUAUACACAUGACAGCGACAUUUUUGCUCUUUCUUCUCGCGCUACUGAUAUUACUUAUUGGCAUGAUCGGCGGGCUGUACAUCUACAAACAGUACGCGAGGACUCAGAUGCGCAGAUUCCGCACCGGCUGGUACAGCAUUCCGUACGAUAGUUCGAAUAAAGCGUCUUACGGCAGCAAUGCAGUUCACCAGGGACUGCUGGCCGACUCUGACUUGUUCACCAAGAGUCUCAAGGCCAUGGAGCAGGACGCGUUGGACAUCGCGAGGCACAUAGAUCACGACAUCAAUAAUUUCUUCAAAGAGAGAUUCGAGAUUGAUCUUGAGAACGAGCAUUAUGAGAAAAUUGACGUGCCUGAUUUCCGCGGUGGACGGCAAGGUCGCUUUAUACACGAUUUCAACAUUAAUAAGACAGGCAUUAUAGAUAUUGACGGUCAGAGCUGCUUCGUCAUGCCACUGAAUCGUCAGCGUGUAUUGCCGCCUCGUAAUAUGUACGAUCUCCUUAGAAAAAUGUACAACGGUUACUAUGAAGUGGACACCGCGGUCGUACGUGAAACUAUGAAAGUAAUUACACCGCCAAUUACCGACAUGUCACUCGUCGGAACGUAUAUAGCGCGCGAAUGCCAAGACUUGCCUACCUAUAUGCUGCAGAAAGUGAACUCUACUAGUGUUGUAAAGCGUAGCGCAUCGCAGAGCGGAGUGUUCGGCCAGUUCGCCGGCAAUAGUAUUAUGGAAGUCGACAUCGUGAAUUUAGAGGAUUUCGAAUGAAACCACGAGAAAUUGAGCAGUGACAAUUUUCAAUUAUUCUAGAGUAUUAAAACCACCAGUAGAUCAAUGUAUAAAAAUUAUGAGCUGUCCAGGGCAAACUUAGCUUAUAACGUAUAUAAUGCAAGUACACGGUUUGUUAUCAAUCUAUAGUAUAUAAUACAUCAUGAGAAACACUCCUUCAUAAUAUCAUGAGAGGCUAAACCGAACGACUGAAUCGUUAUAAAAAAGGACGCAAGAAGUCUUAGUAAGAUGAUACAUUAUUAUCUGUAGGUUCUUAUAGAAAAAUUAAUAUUUCUUCCAUAUUCUCGUGGUAUAUUAUUCAAACCAAAAGAUAGCAGAUGUGUUACAUAAUAGUAAUAAAACGUUUAUUAUUAUGGAUUCUGAUUGGAUUCUGGCACACAGCUUGUUGACUAUAUUUAUGAAUGUCUGCGUUAAUAAUCGAUGAAACUAGUAGAGUGUAGUGCUAAGUGGUCGCGCUUACAACGCAGUUUUAUAAUGCGUUAUUAUCAGUGAACUAUAGACAUAUUCAUUAUAGAUAUAUAUUCAUUUGUGAAUUCUCUAUUUAGAAAAUCUAUUGCUCCCGUUGUGGGCAAUGGUUGAAUACAGUAAGUUUGAGGUAUAAAACACGAAUUAUUUAUAUCGCAGGAUUAAAAAUAAUUUUCAAAAUAUUUGAUAAAAAAGAUAUAUUGGUUUUGCUGUUGUAAUUAAUGUAACUUAAUUGUGAUGUAAAUUGAAGUGAUUUAUGUAAAACGUUGAACGUUUAUAAGAUUACUGUGACUAUAAAUAUUUUUACAAAACAUGAUUGGAUUGAAAAGACACGGAGGUUGCACAGAGUAUUGAUUUAAGAAAGUUUUGGUACAUUUUGACAUUCCAUGUAAGAGAUUUGCUUAUCUCUUCUGCAUUUCUAAUCGAAUAGUUACAUGCUUUAAUAGAUAUAAAUCGUAUUUUAAAUAUAUCUUUUAUUGGCAGUUCAUUGCCAAUUUAUCAUGCAUGAAAGCUGGAAUUGCGAACCAGAACUUGAAUAGAUAAGAUAUUCAUGACUAAAUGCAAUUUUGCCAUUAGUCUAUUUUGGUGCAUUGUCACAUAUAAAAAGAAAUCUUUAGUUUUAAUUUUUUUUUUAAUUAAACAGUUUUUAUUAUGUGAACGCUUAUACGGCAUUCAACGUUAACAAAUGUAUCCAGGUACUCGAAUGUUCAUUAGUCUUAUAAACUUUAAUCAAUUUGAAUACUGCCUAUAUAUCCCUAACAUUUAUAAAGUAAAUCUCUAAGUUUUUUCAAUUCAGAAUAUUUUACAAUAAAAUUGGACCUAAGAUUUUUAGCAUAUCAAAAAGAAGAAAAAUUCUAGUCCGUUUUGUGUGAUGGAUCGUUAUUAUUUAAUUAAUGUCAAAAUUAACAUGGAAAACUAAAGAUGUAUCAUUUGCAGGAUGAUUUUUAUAUAUAAAUUAUUUAUAAUUAAUUUGAUAUCGAAAUUAAGAGGGCAAAUUAAAAAUAUAUUAUUGCAAGACGAUUUUCAUAUACAAAUUAUUUAUAAUUGAUAUUGAAGUUGAAAUAAUAAAUUAAAAAUAUAUUAUUGUAGAAUGUUUUUCAUAUAUAAAUUAGAGAAGUAGUUGACGAACAAUUAAACAUAUAAAUAAAAAUACUACGUUAUAUUUCCGAAUAGACUACCAGUUCAACUUCUUAAUACUCACAUGAAAAAAAAAAAAAACUUAUUCUUUUUGUAAAUCAAUCGAAGUAAAAGAAAUGUAUGUAUUAAUGUAUGCACAGAUCACCGAGUUGUGGACAGAGUGCCUGAACAUUUUUAAUUUUGUAUUAGUUACGUAUUUUUGCUUAUAUUAUUAACUCCAAUAAACAAUUAUGCAAAUGUAUAAAUAUGCGGUGCCGUUUUAAAUGUGUCCGUAGAUAUGUAGAUUAAACACUGGUGGCAAUAAGUAGUAUAUUAGCUCCACCACAUUUUCAAAUGGGGAUGGAAAUGCAGAAUGUCUCUCUAAUAAUCGAUUAGCUUCUGUUAUUUCGACAACAAUCCAUAAUUUUGUCUGUGCGUAUUUCAAUUUUAUUAUAGAGAUUGAUACACGAUUCAUGUUUCGUGUGAUUGUAGUUAAGUUCCUAUAGUCACUAUAUUUCUAUCUCCAUAAGUUUGAAAAAUUUCUUUUAUAGCUUUAUAGCGUUAAGAAACCAAAUUUAUAAAACUGUACGUGAAUUAAUUGUAAAGUCUGAGGAGAAAAUAAACGAUACAUAUGAAUGUAA